AAUCACUUUGGCUGCUGGACAUGAGCAAAGGAAGGGCAAAAGCAAAGAGAGAGAUCAGUUGUUGCAGUUAUCCAGGUGGGAGAUGAUGGUGGUAGCGGUGGCAGCCCUGAGAAAUGGUUGAAUUAUUUUUCAUUUUGAGAGAUAGAAAAUUCAGAAUCCUUUUCAAGGUACCCGAACAAACUACCAUUGGCCAGUUACCACCUCAGACCACCUAUGUUCCUCAACCAGUGAUUGGUCUACCAUUCAGAGACAUUCACAAAGAGACCAUUCCUACUCUAAUAGAAACCUUCUGACAUUACUUCACUCAGUGAGGAGGUGAGGAAUGGAGCGAGGGGGUUCUUGAAGAAUGUUCUAAUGAGUCUCUUCCCUUGAUACCUCAACUGGCUUGCUCCUUCAUAGCUGGUGAGAUGGGAACAGGUGAUGUCAACACAAGGUGUUUGGAGUAAG
rnacentral:lncRNA from 1 species